rnacentral:rRNA from 1 species
UACAGAGGGGGGCAAGCGUUUGUUCGGAAUUACUGGGCGUAAAGGGCGCGUAGGCGGCCUUCUAAGUCGAACGUGAAAUCCCCGGGCUCAACCCGGGAACUGCGUCCGAUACUGGAAGGCUUGAAUCCGGGAGAGGGAUGUGGAAUUCCAGGUGUAGCGGUGAAAUGCGUAGAUAUCUGGAGGAACACCGGUGGCGAAGGCGACAUCCUGGACCGGUAUUGACGCUGAGGCGCGAAAGCCAGGGGAGCAAAGCGGG